rnacentral:rRNA from 1 species
AACCCAUCAAAUGCAUGUUGCAGGAGCUGCAACACUCCACGUCGUCAGCGAAGAUCCGAAUCCCGCCGAGCAAAUCAGCGCACGCCUGUAUUAUUCAUCCCCAUCCACCUCUGCUACUCUAUAAAGAACCUCUCGGCCGCGGCCUCUCGGAGCCCCGAAGGCCACUCUGACUCGCGCUCUUCCCUCUCUGUCCCUCUGGCUCCCAACCAAGAAAGAGCGACGACGGCGACACGUCUAGGUAGUCGGAACGGAACCGGUUGCGUGCUGUACGGAGCAUGGGGCUCCUCGACCAGCUCUGGGACGAGACGGUCGCCGGCCCCAGGCCGGACCACGGCCUCGGCAGGCUCCGCAAGUACUCCUCCUUCUCGCCCUCGACCGCGGCGGCCACGGACGUCGCGCCGGCGGUGACCCGCAGCAUCACCAUCGCCCGGCCGCCAUCUCUCUCGGUGCCAUCUGGCGAAUCAAGCUCCUUGCCGCCGUCCCCGGCCAGCGCGCCGGACUCCCCGUUCGCAGCAGCUACCAGUAGGAGGGACGGCUGGAGGGCGUUCAGGCGGAAAUCCAAGAUGGCCAACGUCGACGUCGUCCGGCCUGAGACGGCCGUCGGGCCCAGAAGCCCCACCGUGUACGACUGGGUGGUGAUCAGUUCAUUGGACCGAUGAAGCAGCACGCCCAAGGUACGAAAUAAUGGACCAAUGCCGAUGAAGCAGAUGAGCUUAGCUGUUGUGCGCCCCUCUGGGCUGCGAAAGUAUGUGAUGUAGUUAGCAGUAGCUCCGGUUGAGGCAAUCGAGAUGUGUUGCCAUCAUGGGGCACCUUUUGGUGUGUGUGGAGGAGAUGAGCGCUGAAAUGAGG